AGGAUCAUUAUCAUGUAACUCAGUCAUGCACGCUGCGUGAGCUGUUAGCUAUACACACCCACCCUGCGUACGUCCUCCUGUUGCUUCCCGUCCGGUGCCUGCGCCCGGGCGGGAGGGGCAAAACAACCUCCAAAUUUUUCUUACUGCCGAAUCUGUCUGAACGAAUUGAACGAAUGAAAAAGUUAAAACUUUCAGCAACGGAUCUCUUGGUUCUCGCAUCGAUGAAGAACGCAGCGAAAUGCGAUAAGUAGUGUGAAUUGCAGAAUUCAGUGAAUCAUCGAAUCUUUGAACGCACAUUGCGCCUUCUGGUAUUCCGGGAGGCAUGCCUGUUCGAGAGUCAUUGACAACCAUCCCAAAUCCCCCCCUUUUCCCUCCUUGAGGGUUUCGGGUGCGAUCUCGGGUUCUGGUGGAUGAGGUAUGCGUUGCCCCGGCAGAUCUCUCCUCUCCUCCCAAAUUCAUGGGCGGUCGCCGGCUUUUAUAGAGAGGAAAACCCCAGCAACGCCUGCUGCGUUUUAAUGUAUUUCGCCCUUGCUGCGUUGCGGGACCUUUCGGGGCCACGGACGACCAGCCUACCCAGUGAAAUAAGAAUAAUCCCCAGUUGUUUUUAUGUAACCUAAAUCUCAAAGGUUGACCUCGGAUC
rnacentral:rRNA from 1 species